rnacentral:rRNA from 1 species
AGAGUUUGAUCCUGGCUCAGGAUGAACGCUAGCGACAGGCCUAACACAUGCAAGUCGAGGGGCAGCGAGGGAGUAGCAAUACUUCCGUCGGCGACCGGCGCACGGGUGAGUAACACGUAUGCAACCUACCUGUAACAGGGGAAUAACCCGGAGAAAUCAGGCCUAAUACCCCAUAAUAUCAUUUCUUCGCAUGAAGGAAUGAUUAAAGAACCUCGGUUACAGAUGGGCAUGCGUUCCAUUAGCUAGUUGGUGGAGUAACGGCCCACCAAGGCAACGAUGGAUAGGGGUUCUGAGAGGAAGGUCCCCCACACUGGAACUGAGACACGGUCCAGACUCCUACGGGAGGCAGCAGUGAGGAAUAUUGGUCAAUGGUCGAGAGACUGAACCAGCCAAGUCGCGUGAGGGAAGACAGCCCUACGGGUCGUAAACCUCUUUUGUCGGAGAGUAAAAAGCGUCACGUGUGACGCCUUGCAAGUAUCCGAAGAAAAAGCAUCGGCUAACUCCGUGCCAGCAGCCGCGGUAAUACGGAGGAUGCGAGCGUUAUCCGGAUUUAUUGGGUUUAAAGGGUGCGUAGGCGGCACGAUAAGUCAGCGGUGAAAUCCCCGAGCUCAACUCGGGAACUGCCGUUGAAACUGUCGAGCUAGCGUACACAAGAGGUAAGCGGAAUGCGUGGUGUAGCGGUGAAAUGCAUAGAUAUCACGCAGAACCCCGAUUGCGAAGGCAGCUUACUGGAGUGUUACAGACGCUGAAGCACGAAAGCGUGGGUAUCGAACAGGAUUAGAUACCCUGGUAGUCCACGCAGUAAACGAUGAAUACUAGCUGUUUGCGAUAGACAGUAAGCGGCACAGCGAAAGCGUUAAGUAUUCCACCUGGGGAGUACGCCGGCAACGGUGAAACUCAAAGGAAUUGACGGGGGCCCGCACAAGCGGAGGAACAUGUGGUUUAAUUCGAUGAUACGCGAGGAACCUUACCCGGGCUUGAAAGUUAGUGAAUGACUUGGAAACAGGUCAGUCCUUCGGGACACGAAACUAGGUGCUGCAUGGUUGUCGUCAGCUCGUGCCGUGAGGUGUCGGCUUAAGUGCCUUAACGAGCGCAACCCUUGUUGUUAGUUGCCAUCAGGUAAUGCUGGGAACUCUAACAAGACUGCUACUGUAAGGUAGAGGAAGGUGGGGAUGACGUCAAAUCAUCAUGCCCCUUAUGUCCUGGGCCACACACGUACUACAAUGGCGGUUAACAAAGAGAGGCAAAACCGCGAGGUGGAGCAAAUCUCAAAAAGCCGUCCCAGUUCGGAUUGCAGGCUGCAACCCGCCUGCAUGAAGUUGGAAUCGCUAGUAAUCGCGGAUCAGCAUGCCGCGGUGAAUACGUUCCCGGGCCUUGUACUCACCGCCCGUCAAG